rnacentral:rRNA from 1 species
UACGUAGGGUGCGAGCGUUGUCCGGAUUUAUUGGGCGUAAAGAGCUCGUAGGCGGUUUGUCGCGUCGGCCGUGAAAUCUCCACGCUUAACGUGGAGCGUGCGGUCGAUACGGGCAGACUUGAGUUCGGUAGGGGAGACUGGAAUUCCUGGUGUAGCGGUGAAAUGCGUAGAUAUCAAGAGGAACACCUGAGGUGAAGACGGGUUGCUGGGCUGACACUGACGCUGAGUGCGCGAAAGCGUGGGGAGCAAACAGG